UUCCUACGGGGGGCAGCAGUAGGGAAUCUUCCACAAUGGGCGAAAGCCUGAUGGAGCAACGCCGCGUGGGUGAAGAAGGUCUUCGGAUCGUAAAACCCUGUUGUUAGAGAAGAAAGUGCGUGAGAGUAACUGUUCACGUUUCGACGGUAUCUAACCGGAAAGCCACGGCUAACUACGUGCCAGCAGCCGCGGUAAUACGUAGGGAGCGAGCGUUGUCCGGAUUUACUGGGUGUAAAGGGCGUGCAGCCGGGAGUACAAGUCAGAUGUGAAAUCCCGCGGCUCAACCGCGGAACUGCAUUUGAAAC
rnacentral:rRNA from 1 species